AAAUUGUUCUCAUGUCAUAAAUACAAAUUCUUGGUUUGGCAGUGGUCAUGUUUGGCCACACAGGGCAAUACCAAAAGUACUAAUUUUUGCAUCCUGUCAUCAAGUGCUAUUUUCCAAGUGCAGCAGCAGCACUGUGUCUCAACGAAGGUGUAUUCAUUUGAGAGGUAACUUCUAUCCUUGAAGAACAAGUGAACAACCAAGUGGUAAGCCACGAAGCUGCUUGAGUAGGUCUUACACUUUUGUUUUCUUUUGUUGUGCAUUUUCAGGUUUGUGGUCAAAUGGUUUGGAGGGUGAUCAAGUAUUUUCUGAGUUUAUGGUU